GUGUUGUAUGAAAGGAGAGACGGUUAGCACUCCCCUAGACAAGGAUGGAAUACACACAUAAUGGGUAGGCACUGCUGCCUAUGUCAGCUCUAUCCACAUUUUUUU